rnacentral:rRNA from 1 species
UACAGAGGUCUCAAGCGUUGUUCGGAUUCAUUGGGCGUAAAGGGUGUGUAGGUGGCGCCGUAAGUCGGGUGUGAAAUUUCGGAGCUUAACUCCGAAACUGCAUUCGAUACUGCGGUGCUUGAGGACUGGAGAGGAGACUGGAAUUCAUGGUGUAGCAGUGAAAUGCGUAGAGAUCAUGAGGAAGACCAGUGGCGAAGGCGGCUCACUGGACCGGUACUGACGCUGAUGCGCGAAAGCGUGGGGAGCAAACGGG